GGAGGUAGUGACAAUAAAUCACAAUGCGGAACUUUUGUUUUGCAAUUGGAUUGAGAACAACGCACAACACUUAUCGAUAAACAAUUGGAGGGCAAGUCUGGUGCCAGCAGCCGCGGUAAUUCCAGCUCCAAUAGCGUAUAUUAACGUUGUUGCAGUUAAAAAGCUCGUAGUUGAAGUGAAGUAAUGAAGUUGUGACUUGAUUUAUCAUUUCGCUCCUUAAUUACUCUUUCCAAACUGUUUGCACGGGUAUUCAUUUACUUGUGUAUUACAUUUGGUCGUUUACUGUGAGAAAAUUAGAGUGUUCAAAGCAUACGUUUGUUUGAAUACAUUAGCAUGGAAUAAUUCGAAAAGGCUUUCAUGUUCGAUUUGAUUGGUUUGUUCGUGAGAGCAAGAUUAAAAGGGACAGUUGGGGGUAUUCAUAUUCAAUAGUCAGAGGUGAAAUUCUCGGAUUUAUGGAAGAUGAACAAGUGCGAAAGCA
rnacentral:rRNA from 1 species